CAGCCGCCACGGGAAAACGAACCGUGCGAACGUUAUUCGGAGUCACUGGGCUUAAAGCGCGUGUAGGCGGGCCGCCACGUCGGCUGCUGAAAUCCCCCGGCUCAACCGGGGAAGUGGCACCGAUACGAGCGGCCUCGAGGGGGGUAGGGGGGACUGGAACUUCCGGUGGAGCGGUGAAAUGCGUUGAGAUCGGAAGGAACGCCCGUGGCGAAAGCGAGUCCCUGGACCCUUUCUGACGCUGAGACGCGAAAGCCAGGGGAGCGAACGGGAUUAGAUACCCGAGUAGUCCCUGUCUCUAUAC
rnacentral:rRNA from 1 species